rnacentral:ncRNA from 15 species
GGGGAUGUAGCUCAGAUGGUAGAGUGUUCGCUUAGCAUGCAAGGUACAGGAUCAAUACCUCACAUCUCUA